UAAGACAGAGGUGCCGAGCGUUAGGCGGAAUCACUGGGCUUAAAGCGUGUGUAGGCGGACGAGUAAGUACCUUGUGAAAUCCCACGGCUCAACCGUGGAACUGCUCGGUAUACUGCUCGUCUUGAGCCGCCCAGGGGCAGGUGGAACAAAUGGUGGAGCGGUGAAAUGCGUAGAUAUCAUUUGGAACGCCAAAGGUGAAAACAGCCUGCUGGGGGCGUGCUGACGCUGAGACACGAAAGCCAGGGGAGCGAACGGGAUUAGAUACCCCGGUAGUCCUGGCCGUAAACGAUGUCGACUAGAUCGCGGUGGCUCUGACGCCAUCGCGGUCGAAGCAAAAGUGCUAAGUCGACCGCCUGGGAAGUACGGUCGCAAGGCUA
rnacentral:rRNA from 1 species